rnacentral:rRNA from 1 species
GAUGAACGCUGACAGAAUGCUUAACACAUGCAAGUCGACUGGAAUUCACCUUCGGGUGUUAGUACGGUGGCGGACGGGUGAGUAACGCGUAAAGAACUUGCCCUUCAGACCGGGACAACUGUUGGAAACGACAGCUAAUACUGGAUAUUAUGGAAUCCCGGCAUCGGGAAACUAUGAAAGCUAUAUGCGCUGGAGGAGAGCUUUGCGUCCCAUUAGCUAGUUGGUAGGGUAAUGGCCUACCAAGGCGAUGAUGGGUAGCCGGCCUGAGAGGGUGAUCGGCCACAAGGGGACUGAGACACGGCCCUUACUCCUACGGGU